GGAAGUCUCAGCCUAAGGAAUCUAAGGAAAAUAAAGUCGGAGGUUAGAGAAAUGAGGGGAAGAUGAUGUCAUACUGAAGUUUUUGGCCAUUAUGAACAGAGCUGCGGUAAAUGGUCACAUACGGGUUUUUGUAGGACUGCAAGUUUUUGUUCUCUAACAUAAACACCCAGGAGCGGGAUUGCUAAAUCAUAUGGGUCCUUAUCGCCUCCUCACCCCUCCCCAAAUGCCAGUCCACCAAAACCCAGCAGGGACAAGGGCCAGCCCUCCUCCCUCCACCAGCUGAAGAACAAAAGUGCCCACAUGUAUGUAUUUGCAUGCCUACAAAGACAUUCAUGGAAGAAAAGAAUUGCCUGACCCUGAGCUCCAGAAGGAUCUGAGUCCCGGUUCUGUUUC